UACGAAGGGGACUAGCGUUGUUCGGAAUCACUGGGCGUAAAGCGCACGUAGGCGGCUUACUAAGUCAGGGGUGAAAUCCUGGAGCUCAACUCCAGAACUGCCUUUGAUACUGGUGAGCUUGAGUCCGGAAGAGGUGAGUGGAACUGCGAGUGUAGAGGUGAAAUUCGUAGAUAUUCGCAAGAACACCAGUGGCGAAGGCGGCUCACUGGCCCGUAACUGACGCUGAGGCACGAAAGCGUGGGGAGCAAACAGG
rnacentral:rRNA from 1 species